rnacentral:rRNA from 1 species
GAUGCAGUGUAUGGAAUAUCUAAAUUCUAGUAUGAUAAAUUAAUGAUUUAAGUCCUUCUUAAAUGAGGCCAUUUACCCAUAGAGGGUGCCAGGCCCGUAUAACAUUAAUGAUUACUAGAAGAUAUUUCCAAAGAGUCGUGUUGCUUGAUAGUGCAGCACUAAGUGGGUGGUAAACUCCAUCUAAAACUAAAUAUAACCAUGAGACCGAUAGUAAACAAGUACCGUGAGGGAAAGUUGAAAAGAACUCUGAAUAGAGAGUUAAAUAGUACGUGAAACUGCUUAGAGGUUAAACCCGAUGAACCUGAAUAAUCCAAUAUAGAGAAUUCAUCAUUAAGACAAUAAUUAUUAUUAUUGUUAUGGUGUGCAUUUUCUCUAUAUAAAUGGACAUUGUAAUCUAUUAAUAUAUAAAUAUAUAUUUAUCAUAAGAUCAAUGGUUUUAUUGUUUAUUUUAAUUAAUUUGCUUUAGCUUAUUAAUAUAAAAUAAUUGCCUAUUGAUUUGAUAAAGUAUUGAUAGAUUUAAUCAUAUGUAUAAUGCAUAAAUUUCAUUUGAAAUUUUAUAAUAUUAAUAUAUAUAAUAUAAUUAAUAUUAUAAGCAUUUAUACGAUUUACAAUGCGAAAGAUUCAGGAUACCUUCGGGACCCGUCUUGAAACACGGACCAAGGAGUCUAACAUAUGUGCAAGUUUUUGGUAUUUUAUUAAUAAAACCCAAAAGCAUAAUUAACAUAACUAAUAUUUUAAUGGGAUUAGUUUUUAAUUCAUAAAUGAAUUAUAAAUUCAAUCCCAGGGCGUUCUAUACAGUUAUGUAUAAUAGCAUUUAUGUUAUUUAUACCUCUAACUAGAGCGUACCUUGAGCAUAUAUGCUGUUACCCGAAAGAUGGUGAACUAUACUUGAUCAGGUUGAAGUCAGGGGAAACCCUGAUGGAAGACCGAAACAGUU